GUAGGGGCGCAAGCGUUAUCCGGAAUUAUUGGGCGUAAAGAGCUCGUAGGGCGGUUUGUCGCGUCUGCUGUGAAACCCCGAGGCUCAACCUCGGGCCUGCGGUGGGUACGGGCAGACUAGAGUGCGGUAGAGGAGAUUGGAAUUCCUGGUGUAGCGGUGGAAUGCGCAGAUAUCAGGAGGAACACCGAUGGCGAAGACAGAUCUCUGGGCCGUAACUGACGCUGAGGAGCGAAAGGGUGGGGAGCAAACAGGCUUAGAUACCCUGGUAGUCCACCCCGUAAACGUUGGGAACUAGUUGUGGGGUCCAUUCCACGGAUUCCGUGACGCAGCUAACGCAUUAAGUUCCCCGCCUGGGGAGUACGGCCGCAAGGCUA
rnacentral:rRNA from 1 species